rnacentral:rRNA from 1 species
ACGGGUGAGUAAUAUAUCGGAACGUACCCAGAAGUGGGGGAUAACGCAGCGAAAGUUGCGCUAAUACCGCAUACGAUCUACGGAUGAAAGUGGGGGAUUCGCAAGGACCUCAUGCUUUUGGAGCGGCCGAUAUCUGAUUAGCUAGUUGGUGAGGUAAAGGCUCACCAAGGCAUCGAUCAGUAGCUGGUCUGAGAGGACGACCAGCCACACUGGAACUGAGACACGGUCCAGACUCCUACGGGAGGCAGCAGUGGGGAAUUUUGGACAAUGGGGGCAACCCUGAUCCAGCAAUGCCGCGUGAGUGAAGAAGGCCUUCGGGUUGUAAAGCUCUUUUGUCAGGGAAGAAACGGUGGUCUCUAAUAUAGAUUACUAAUGACGGUACCUGAAGAAUAAGCACCGGCUAACUACGUGCCAGCAGCCGCGG